AUUUAAGUAGUUUAAUAAAAAUAGCGAUUUGUGGUGUCGUUGAUAUAAUUUAUUAUCUUGAAUU
rnacentral:tRNA from 1 species